rnacentral:rRNA from 2 species
AAAACAACUCUCGGCAACGGAUAUCUCGGCUCUCGCAUCGAUGAAGAACGUAGCGAAAUGCGAUACUUGGUGUGAAUUGUAGAAUCCUGUGAAC